rnacentral:lncRNA from 1 species
AUGGUGGGGCAUAUGCACCAGGCUCGAUCGAUCUAUCCACAAUGGCACAGCGUGCAGACUGCAGGCUACAUUAAAGAAACUAGAAAAAAUAGCGCCCUAUCGGGCGCUGUAUCACCUAGCAUGGUUAAACAACCCGAGUCCAUGCUUAAUAACGCCUCCAGAACCUCACAGCGUCGUCAAGUCGUCAUGACAAAGCAGUGGCGCGUUCCGAGAGCUCGAGCAAACCAGGGGACGGCCUCGGCGGCAUUGCUUCUUCCUGUUCCUGGGCGUCCACCAUUUCCAAGAUCUUUCUUACGGUUGCCUGUAACCUCUCGUGACCACCUUCCAGUGUGGACUGACCAGCAGUUACGUUCGGUUGGAUGGCCAUAG